ACUGCCCCUAGAGCAUUGCAGGCAUGGCUGCAGUGUCACAUGUGUGCCAGUAGGUGGCAGUGAAGAGAAAGUCCAUGCUCAAUGUUCUGACCAGUGAACAUCUCAAUAAUCAGAAGCUUAACCUU
ensembl:snoRNA LOC120094922 small nucleolar RNA SNORA17